GAUCAUGGCUCAGGAUGAACGCUAGCGACAGGCUUAACACAUGCAAGUCGAGGGGCAUCAUGGUAAGUAGCAAUACUUAUUGAUGGCGACCGGCGCACGGGUGAGUAACGCGUAUGCAACUUACCUAUCAGAGGGGGAUAGCCCGGCGAAAGUCGGAUUAAUACUCCAUAAAACAGGGGUUCCGCAUGGGACUAUUUGUUAAAGAUUCAUCGCUGAUAGAUAGGCAUGCG
rnacentral:rRNA from 1 species